UGGGCGGGGCUGGCUCACGGUGUUCUCUCCACGGACCCGGCGGGACCGUCGGGACCUACUGGGCGGCGGGACCGCGAGCCGGUGACAUCCUCCUCCCUCGGAACGGAGCUGAUGCUGCGGACUCUUCCCAACCAGAAGUGCGAGGUUAUUUUUAGGUCACGUGUCACCUAUAAACAUAAUCUUGGAAAAACUAAAGGUGGGACAUGGCCUGGAACCAAAGCCUCCAAGAUCCUUGGACACCUUCAGAUGGAUUUUAUCCAGCUCCUACCCUUCAUGAAAUGGGGGACAUGGGUUCGAUCCCUGGUCCAGGAAGAUCCCACAUGCCAUGGAACAAC